rnacentral:rRNA from 1 species
GGGUGAAAUUUAAUAUUAUAGUGUGGUAGUUUGUAAAAGUAAGAGGUUUCGAGUCUAUUAAGGUUCAGAUAUAAACCAGGAUUAGAUACCCUGUUAUACUUUAUUAAAAUUUAAUCCCUUGAGUAGUAAGCAGUUAUGUUCUUGAAACUUAAAGGAUUUGGCGGUAUUUCAGUCCUGUUAGAGGAACCUGUUCUGUAAACGAUACACCACGAAUUAUCUUACUCUUUCUAGUUAUUCAGUUUGUAUACCGCCAUUGUUAGAUAGUUUUUACAAAAAUCUAUUAGAAUAAUUGUUAAUUAAUAUAUUAGGUCAAGGUGCAGCUAAUGUGAGAGUAGUUAAUGGGUUACAAUAAUAUAGGUAUAUUACGGAUGAGAGCUAUAAGGGCUUUUUGAAGGUGGAUUUAAUAGUAAUUUUUAUUUAAUAAGUUAGUAUGAUAGGGGCUCUGAAAUAUGUA